GGUUAAGUCCGCAACGAGCGCAACCCUCAUUGUUAGUUACUACCAUUCAGUUGAGGACUCUAAUGAGACUGCCAACGGAUAAGUUGGAGGAAGGUGGGGAUGACGUCAAAUCAUCAUGCCCUUUAUGACCUGGGCUACAAACGUACUACAAUGGCCAAUACAAAGAGAUGCGAAGCGGUGACGUGGAGCGAACCUCAGAAAGUUGGUCUCAGUUCAGAUUGAAGUCUGCAACUCGACUUCAUGAAGGCGGAAUCGCUAGUAAUCGCGGGUCAGCAGACCGCGGUGAAUACGUUCCCGGGUUU
rnacentral:rRNA from 1 species